CAUUUUUGAAACAUUUUAUUGUGAGAGUUACAUAGAAUAAAAAAUAAGAUUAGUUUAUAUAAUGCUACACUUUUUUUUGGCAAAGUGCUGUUUUUUUUCUUCUUAACUGAAACCUUAUAAUUGAUACAUCAAGUUUAAAAAAAAAAACCAAGACAAAACACAAACGGCUUCAUAAAAAGAUGUGGCUCAAGAAGUCAGCUGCCAUUAAUGCAUAGAUGUUUUAGAUUCUUACUGGAAAAAGCUCUUCAAAUCUUCAAGUUCUUAAUAGGCAGAAAAGAAAAAAAUACACACAAAAAAAAAAAGUUUAUCAGAUUUAAUAAAAAUACAAAAAUGCUCACAUACACCGUAUUAUCCACUCAGACUCCGUAAUACAACCUGUCUCAAGCCAACCGUGGAAAGAACAGAGGUAACACACACACACAGCCAGUAACAAUUUGUGUUCUAACAGUCUGUACCAAAAAAUUUUAAAAGUAGUACUGUAACAGCACAAUUAGACAUUAAUUUAUAGGUCGGAGAGAAGGGACAAUUCAUACACAUUUUUUAAAAAUUGCAAUAUACAAGAUGAUUUAUCAAAGGUGAAAAAAAGUGCCAUUUUAGGUGAGAUUUCUAAACACUGAGGAACAUUCAACUGGUUACCAGGGUAAUUGCUCCAUAAUGUGCAAAUUGAGCAAGAAAAGUUUGUGUUGCUUGGCCAUAUCUUCUCCAUAACGCCACUGAAAGCACUCUGGUGUUUUAUCAAGUUUUGUCUUCUCACCAAGUAUUUAAGAAAAAUAAACAUUGAAUCAAACUGCUCAAGAAACUUGACUCAGGGGAAAUCGGGGACCAUCUUUGGCAAACAAGCCUCAAAUCUUUGGGGUGGGGUUACUGAUCUAAAUGGUCUACUGGUUGAUAGGGACAAACUCACUUUUGUCUUUGCCAUUAACAGCUUUUCUUAGUACCUACCAGAGGUGGUGCCAACCAGCCUGCCACAUUCUACUCUUGUUGAACAAAAAGGCUAAACAAUAUAGCCUUAUGAGUUUAACAAAACUAACUAAAUACUUUGAAUGUAAAAUUAUACUUCAAAAUGUUUUCAAUGGUUGGGCAGAAGUAGUUACUCUGCUAUGAGUUGGUAUUAAUAGCAAACCACAACUUUAAAAAAAAAAGAUAUUGCAACCAAAUAUAGUAGACAUUAAAAAGAUCACAAAACAAAUUAAAGCCAAGUGUGUAUAUGUAUGGAUUACAACCAUGGUAAUCAGCUGUUCCUUUUUAUAUUUUGUAAAACUAUACAGUUCUUCUAGGCUAGAAAGAAGGUUAAACUAGGCCCCUUAUUUUUAUGGUCCCAUUUACCCAUUUGAUGUUUGCUUACAAGUUUUGCCUAGACAUUGUACAGCGCAAUAAACAAAACAAUGGGCAUCUAGUGUAUGUUUGGGUGCUCUAAACGUUUGGAAAGGAAAAACUCCAAGAAUUAAAUCUCACAUUUUAAACAAAAAAAAACAAAAAAACAGGGAGGCAUGGCAAUCCAUUUGAUUAAGGAUGUAUAUAAUGCUAAUAUUACCCAUAUUCAUAAAUUUCAGAUUCAAGAAAUCAAACCUGGUUUAGGAUAGAAUCAUUUAGAAUAAAUGAAAAAGAUUUAGCCCUCCUGAUCUGGGAUGAUUUUACUAAUUUCAAUUCCCACUUAAUGCAACUUAAUUCAAGCAUUGUAACCCAUCUAGAAGAAUGGCAAUUAAAAAAAAAAUUCGAAGGAGCAAACAUUCGACUCCUCAAAAGUUAUGCAUUAGCACCUGGAGAGCUCAUAAUGAAAUUAUCGAAGAUCUCCUUCAGAAUUCUAAUUUGUGUUCAUUUAAUUUAAAAUUGAAAUUUGACAUCUCCGAUAAAGAAAUAUUCACCUACUUAAGAGUUAGAGGAUUUCUGAAUUAAUUUCUUUUAAAAACUGAAGGAGAUAAGAAUAAAAAAAAAAAAAUUCUUAAUCAGUUAAGCUCUAUCACUAUCGAUUUAAUUAGACAAUCAUAUUCAAAUAUACAACCUUCAGCUAAAAAAACUGUUGGAAAAAGAUUUUAACCAUAAAAUCUGAGACAAGGAAUGGUGUUCCCCUUGAGAGUACUUAAAAAAAGCAUAUAAACUGCCUUAAUAUUAUCAAAACAUUCUUCAAAGUACUUCAUAGAUGGUACUUUGUUCCAACCAGGCUGGCCAAUAUAUCUUUGUCUAACUAUCCACUUUGUUGGAGAUGUCUAGCUCAGGAAGGAACUAUGUUACAUAUUUGGUGGAAUUGCCCAAAAAUAAAUUACCUUUUGGGAUUCGAUAUAUCUUAUCGUGUCUCUCUUCAAUAUUAAUCUAAAGAAAUCUCCAGAAAUAGGCCUGCUCCACCUAAAUUGGGGUAAACACCCCAAAAUCAAAUACUGACCUUACAUUCUCUUAUGUCUGCGAAAAUAGUAAAUCCAAGAUCAUGGAAAUAAAUAUCAACUCCAGAUAUCUCCCAGUACAAAAACCAACUUAUAUUAAUCCACUGUUCAUAAGGAGAUAGUCUAAUAACUUCCUCACUUUACUAAAUGGUUAAACUUAUUUAUACCCUUCCUAAACGAGUAAUAUACGAAACAAUAAUGUAUUUCGUUUUUGUAAUGUAUUGUAUGUAUAUAAAAAGCUUGUUACUUAAUCGUAACAAUGUUUGUAUAAUUGUAUGUAUAAUUUUAAAAAAUUUCAAUAAAAAUGUAUCUAAACGUUUUGUAAUAUUUUUUUGUUAAAUGUAUGGUUAUUUACAUAUUUAUCUUUAAUGGAAGAAAAAAAAAAAACCCACAGCACCAAUCACAAUCACCUCCACCAAGUAUGACAUAUACGAUUUGUCCACACAAUAAGGAUCUUUCUUAUAGUGCUCUCAGUAACAUUAUAUAGGUAGUCCAUUGAUCAGAGGCACAGUUUCAAGUAGAGGCAUUAGUGUAACAAGUAAACACCCAUUUCCCUGACAGUAACCUGAACCCAUCAUAGUCCUAUCUGUGAUCGUCUGUGGCAUUUAGGAUGCCACACAUGCAAUUACAAGGUAUAUAUGCUUGGGCUAUAUGUUUCCCAAAAACUGAUGACAUAUCAAAAGCACUCUAUAUAAUAAAUAAUUUUAUAAUGCAGUAUACACACACACACACACACAAAUAUAUCAGUCUUUAAAUGGAACUCUUGCAGAUACAUGGUUAACACCAAAGUUACAGAUAACUGGAAAAGUUUAGUCUUGCAGAGUUUUUCACCAAUGCAAAAAUUACAAGUGAAUUUCUAGUUUAAUGUUAAAAUAGACCGACAGAAAAAAAAAAAAAAAGCCCUAAAUACUUUAACUGCCCUCACCUUAAAAACAAGUUAACAAAAUUAACAGGGUUGUCCACUAAGACAGAAGCAAAAAGAUGAAGAUGAAAGUAGCCCGCUUGAUGCUUUACCAUUGUCCAACUAGAUGGUGUGGAUGUACCCAGCUUUACAAAUCUCCAGACUGACAGCCAAAACCGCCAAAAUCAGCUGUAGCCAAGUGCACCAACCUAGCUAUGCUGCAUUUAUUUUAAUUAGUAUGGCUCAUGAUCUUGCCAUACUAUGCAUUUUUAAAUGAACAUUAUAGCCCCCCUCACCCUAUUAAUGUUUCCUUUGCCUAAAGGUUGCAAUACAAAGCCAGGGGUUCACCACUUAGUGUGUGAAGUGGGGGGGGGGGGGGCAGGGAAAGGGACGUUUUUAAAUAUAAAAUAAAAAUGGGUUAACACUCCAUCUAUAUAUUAAAAAUAAAUAAAAGAGCCACACAGUUUGCAGAUUAUGAAAAUUGUUUAAAAACACCUGGGGUGCCAGAGUUAGCCCUUCUUGUAAACAAGUUCUUUAUCCCACAAAAGUCACACAUUAUUGGUCCUCAAUGGGUUAAGGCACAAUCCAUUCGAAGCUGCUGCAGGGCAGAAAUGGCAUGUGUCAAGUUUUUCCUGCAAGUCAGACUUAGAUCCCCAAGCAGAGAGGGGAAGGUUUACAACAUCUUGCAUGUUUAGAUGACAUCCUAUUCAUUUCAUGUGUGGAGUCUCUGUAUGACCCAGACAGCUGUCAGGAUUUCCCGCUCUGCAAGGCCAGCCACCUAGGAUGCUCCAUUCAUUAACAAAACUGGAGAGAGUUGGAGUUUAUAGACAGUUGGCAGGUGCCAUAAACAACUGUGCACUAAACGAGAUAAUUAAUUAAUCACAUCUUAAACAAUAUCUUUCUCAGGGAGAAGA